AUUGAACGCUGGCGGCAGGCCUAACACAUGCAAGUCGAACGAGUGGCGGACGGGUGAGUAAUGUCUGGGAAACUGCCCGAUGGAGGGGGAUAACUACUGGAAACGGUAGCUAAUACCGCAUACCAUCGGAUGUGCCCAGAGGGGAUUAGCUAGUAGGUGGGGUAACGGCUCACCUAGGCGACGAACCCUAGCUGGUCUGAGAGGAUGACCAGGCACACUAGAACUGAGAGACGGACCAAACGCCUACUGGGGGCAGCAGUGGGGAAUCUUGCACAACGGGGGCAACUCUGAGGCAGAAACGCCGCGUGCGGGAUGACGGUCUACGGGUUGUAAACCGCUUGCAGCCAUGACGCGGUAGUGGCAGAAGAAGCACCGGCUAACUACGUGCCAGCAGCCGCGGUAAUAC
rnacentral:rRNA from 1 species